AGUUCGCCUUAUGUUUCCUGUGAUACGCCAGUGUCUUAUGUGUACUACAGCGCCCGUCCGAGCUGCCUUUGUUCUCGCCUGUCCGCGUUCGCUCGUGGAAUACCUGUAACUGUGGCUUCGAAUUAUGGUGCGUGGAAGAAUUUGUUGAAAGGUGUGCUUUCGUGCGCUGGUGUUCAUCGGCAAUUCGACAGUGUUCGCGCCGGAAAGAGCGUCGUCGUGUGGUGCCUGCGAGACGAAGCCGUUUGCCGACCACAUUGAAGGUGCCUUGUGAGCUCUCACCCAAGCACCACAUUCCAGAGGUCUGCUGUGAGCAGACGUGGCAAAUUGAAGUAACAUCCAGAUAGUCCAAUAAACUGUUCGUAGUUUCAGACA